rnacentral:rRNA from 1 species
UACGAAGGGGGCUAGCGUUGUUCGGAAUUACUGGGCGUAAAGCGCACGUAGUCGGGUUGUUAAGUCAGGGGUGAAAUCCUGGAGCUCAACUCCAGAACUGCCUUUGAUACUGGCAACCUAGAGACUGGAAGAGGUUAGUGGAAUUCCCAGUGUAGAGGUGAAAUUCGUAGAUAUUGGGAAGAACACCAGUGGCGAAGGCGGCUAACUGGUCCAGCACUGACGCUGAGGUGCGAAAGCGUGGGGAGCAAACAGG